UAAGAUGCAAUGUUCCACAACAAAAUACCGCUAUUGUGAAAGCAACCUAAUAAAAAUCAUCUAGGGGCUCCAUCCUUUGGGACAUAAAAGCGAACGCAGGAUUUCUAUAAGCUCUACAACAGAGGCUAGCAGCCUGUUUUUGUAAAUAAAGUUUUAUUAGAACACAGUUAUGUCCAUUUGCUUACAUACUGCUUAUGAUUGGCUGCUUUCUCAUUACAUGGGUGGUGUUGCGCAGGUGAAACAGAGAUCCCAUGGCCUGCGAAGGCUAAAAUGUUAACUCUCUGGCCCUUUACAGAAGGAGACUGCCAAUUUUUGCUCUAAAACAAGUGGUCUCAGCCUUCUCUAGACAGAAAUUUAGAAGCACAUCAUGUGUGCAAGCACAGGAGGGGCUGGUUUGGAGAGAAGAUUCAGCUGCUCCCCGCUCUACACUAAAAUCAGGGAACUGAAAUGAUGGCGAGGAGUGGGGAGAGAAGGGACAGACGCAGCGGUCAUUGCUAUAAACGAUUCAAUUAAACUUUCCACGAGACUGAAGGAGGCGCUCUGAAGUUUUCUUUUAGGUACUAUUUUACUUGCAGCCACGCUGCAUUAAGAGCUCACUUCUGUGAUGGUUUGAUAUUUAUAUCAAAAGGAACAUUUCAGGGGAGAUUCAAGAUAGCUAUGACAAUGUGUACAAUUAUAAUCAGAUCCCAGAAUAAAUCUGAGGUAAAAUCAAGGAUUUAAAUCAGUGAACCAUCAAAAUAAAGAUAUUUUCCACAGCCUAUAAUAUGAAAUAUGAUUAAUCCCUUUGAAGGUAAUUAUAUGUAAACCCAAAAAAAAAACAGUAAUGAAGAUGAUCUGGCCAAGAGACCCAGCGUCUAGUCUAGGUUUUGAUUCUGUAUGAUCUUAGAAUAGUCAUUUCCCUCACUGGACUUCACCGUUCUUAUCUGUGAAAUGAAGAAAUCGGGCUAAAUCAGGGGUUUUCAAUCCUCAGCAUUCAUCGGACUCACCUAGAGGCAUUUGUUUAAGCAAAGACAUAGGCAGCCGUCCACUCUCAGCCCUGACUCAUAAAGAGCUUGGAAAUCAUCACUCUCAUGUUCACAGCAAGAAAAAAGCUUAAAACCGGAAAUCAAUGACUUUUCUUAGGUUCAUCAGAAAACUGAGGUCACGCCACCUCCAAAACCUGGAGAAAUGUGAAAAUAACUAAGAGCCACAGCCAAGGUCAGCUGACCCGAAGCAAAGCUUCAGAAGCCGGUAACCAGUAGGGACACUUAAAUGCUAACUUUGACAAAUUUCCAGCACUGAGUGAGGACUAGCUUGAGGAUUAAAAACUCCUGGUCCAGAUUCACGGAGCCCCUCGCAGGAAGGUUCACAAAUGAAGAGCAGAAAAAUCCCCUCGUGUUUUGGGCAGGGGAAGGGAGAGUAACUUUGGAAACAGCUCCAAGCCCUGUUCUCCAAGGGAAACUGCCCUGCCAGGGCCUCCUCUGACCCGAGGAAAGGUAAUUAGUCACCUCCAGGCCCUCUCACCUUCCUGUCUCACAGAAGAGGAAGAGCAAAAAGGCUAAAUCAAUUCUGAAGGUCACAGCCCACGGACUCAGGGCUCACUAAAAAACUGAGAUUUAGGAGUUCCGAUUGUGGCACAGCAGAAAUGUAUCUGAGGAGGGUUCGAUUCCUGGCCUCGCUCAGUGGGUCAAGGAUCCAGCGCUGCCGUGAGCUGUGGUGAGGCCCUAAAAAAGCAAAAGAAUAAAAAAUUUUUAAAUAGCUAAAGAAAUGAAGAUUCUAAAAUUCUUAAAAGAUCUCAACCCUUAAAAAAGCAAACAAAAACCAAUAAACACUCAACAUCAUGACAUAACAUCUUGCACCUUGCAAAGAGAAGAUUUCCUACAUUUAAACUCCUACUCCAAAAACUAAAUUUUGGUUUGCUUGUUUGUUUCUUGGCUUUAGUGGCUUAAGAAUCAGCUUUACCCACUUUUCACAGGAUCUUCUACACCAAAGGUUAUCCCUGGGCCUGAGCUCUUGUCUCUCUGUAGCUAAAGCAAUAAAGAAGAGUGGGUGUCGGGAGUCACUGUAGUUUCGAGAAUCUCAAGAACACUGCCAACACCCAUGUGGUGCAGCAGGUUAAAGAUCCAGCGUGGCUGCAGUUGCAGCACAGGUCACAACUGUAGCACGGGAUCAAUUCCUGGCCCAGCAACUUCUUUAUGCUGUGCGUGUGGUCCAAAAAAAAAAAAAAAAAA
rnacentral:lncRNA from 1 species